rnacentral:snRNA from 1 species
UAAAAGGGCUUCGAUUAUGUAAUCCACGUAAUUAAGCGUGCGGAAUGGUUAUCAAGACAUUUCGGAAGCAUAAUAUUUGAAUUCAGGGAAGCCGAAGCCGCUGCUUAAGGCGCCCUA